UGUCCUUGUUUGUUCAGGAACCGCGAUGUGAUAGGGAUGGCCAGUCGAUCUGCACUGCAAAUCCUGCGUGCUAAUACGGAAGCAUGCCAAAAGGCCCAUUUGGACAACAAAGAGCCAUUCUAAGUAGCUGAGAACAUUUCCCACGAUCUGGCAGAGCAUCUCGCUGGCAGAGUUGUGCAUUUUCUCAAGAGGCACGCAUCUCAGACCUCCUCUAAAGUGGUGCCCACUUUGAUACAUCCUUGCCUGGGUCUGUGCCCCCCUGUCACGGAGAGCAGGCUCCUGUUUGGUAGGAAAUUAGGAAGCAGGCGUCUGAUUGUCCUGUUUCCUUCUGAACCCGCACUGACCGGACGGCCGAGAAGCAACAAGCUGGAGCCGGAUCACUGACGGCGAGGCGGCCGGAGCGCGUCGCGACUUCUCACAGAUAGCCUUUCAUCAACGUCCUCAUCUGGAGGAGCGAUGUCUCGCUUUCACAAAGACCCCCAAGAAGACUGGCUCACUGUGUGUCUGAAAUACCUCCUCUUCAUGUUCAACUUCCUCUUCUGGGUGAGUCUAAC